ensembl:snRNA U6 U6 spliceosomal RNA
GUGCUCACUUCGGCAGCAAAAAUCCCCAAAUUGGAACAAUGCAGAGAAGAUUAGCCCCUGCGAAAGGAUAAUAUGCAAAUAUGUGAGGCGUUCCUUGUUUUU